CCCUUAGAUGUUCUGGGCGGCCCGCGCACUACAAUGGCGCUUUCAACGAGUUCCUAUGUUGAAUUUUCCUGGGUAUUCUUGGAAGCGGCGUCUUGACUUGGGAUAGAUCCUUGUAAUUGUUGGUUUUGAACGAGGAAUUCCUUGUAAUCGCGGUUGAUCAGCUCGCGUUGAAUACGUCCCUGCCCUUUGUACACACCGCCCGUCGCUCCUACCGAUGAAUCGUCCGGUGAAGUUCACAGAGUGGCGGUUCGUGGAGUUGCUCGCGAAGUGAAAUGGACCUCACGAUUUAGAGGAAGGAGAAGUCGUAACA
rnacentral:rRNA from 1 species